CAAUAGCGUAUAUUAAAGUUGUUGCAGUUAAAAAGCUCGUAGUUGAAUUUCUGGUGGGCGCGCCGGUCUUCCAAGUGUUGUACUGGGCGCAGUCCGCCAUCCUUGUGGAGAGGGCUCGCAUUGAGUUGCGUGUCGGAUCUGCAUCAUUUACUGUGAAAAAAUUAGAGUGUUUAAAGCAGGCUGUCGCUUGAAUACAUUAGCAUGGAAUAAUAAGAUAGGACUUCGGUUUAUUUUGUUGGUUGCGAACCGAGGUAAUGAUUAAUAGGGAUAGUUGGGGGUAUUCAUAUUUAAUUGUCAGAGGUGAAAUUCUUGGAUUUAUGAAAGAUGAACAACUGCGAAAGCAUUUACCAAGGAUGUUUUCAUUAA
rnacentral:rRNA from 1 species